rnacentral:lncRNA from 1 species
AAAAAUUCAAAACAGCAACCAAUAUUCAACACAAAGCAUUUUUAUUCAAUCAUGAGCAUGUCCAAAAAAGGACCAAAUCAAAAGCAUUGAGCAAAUCCAUUUCAUGUGCAAGAGAAGGCAAAGGCAAAUUCAAAGCUCACAAAUGAUCAUCAUGAAUCAAAAUUCCAUAUUAAAACAGAAAUGACUCAAACAACUCUGGAAAUUUUUAU